UUGAAUCACUGGCCUUCAUGGUCACUGCUGCUGACUGCCCCCGAUGCCUGACUGGGGUGCCUGGCUGCCCGUGGUGCCCGGCUGACCACAGUGCCACGAUCUGCAGGUGAUCCAUGAUGAUGGGUACCUAUGGCCAAGCCACCAGGUGGGGAGACCUUCUGGGCAUCGUGACCAGCCUGUCCUCGUCUGUGGGGGAGCGUUGCUCUUGGCAGUGAGGAAGAAAGUGCUGGGCUCAUGUGACAUUGUGAUUCUUGGGCUAUAAUUUCUAAGGGUUCAAUGGCAGAAAUAAGAAUGACCCAAGACCAACAGGUGACCCAGACACAGCUGGGAAAUGCCUGGACAGCCGUGCUGCUCUCACCAGCAGGGGCAGGGCACACCCCUGGGUGGGGAGGUCAGUAUGGGAGCGUCCCCCAGUGCGGUGAGGGGAGUGUGGCACCACGCUCCCCACCGUGGCUCCAGGCACAUCCUGGACUUUCAGCUGAAGGAGUUGGAGAAAAAGGCAAAAGCAGGAAGGUCAGGGUGUCCUCCUCCCCGAGACCCCUUCUCUCCUGACACAAGUCAUACGACCUUCACGUAAGAGGUGCCCUUCCUAUGCCCAGAGGACAGGGGCAUCCUUCCAUCUGAACAUGGAGGGACUCCAAGAAAAGUCCCAUCAAACAGCCCUUGCCAAGCCUCCCCCAGCUGACCACACUCUGACAUACACCUGACCUGGCAUUUCCCAAACCAAAAAAAAUGCUCAGGUCUCCCUGUUUUUCCGUGUCUUCAUUUCCUUUUGAAGGCUUCUGUUUCACACGAAUGUACCUUAAAUAAAUCUGUUCUCUUUUCUCCUGUGCAUCUGCCCUUGUCAGUUUGUUUUUCAGUCCCAGCCAAGAACCCUAAGAGAGUCGAAGAAACCUUUUUCUUCCCCUACAAGAGCUGGAGUAGCCACUAAAAGAAGACACCGUGUAGGCCAGCACCCCCAAAACCUUACGUCCCAGGAUCUGGUGAAAUAUAUCCUCUCCCCAGGAGACGAGUCACAGGGCCUGUGAACCAGACCCUGGGCACAGGGUCCAGCUCCUCCCACCAUGAGGUCACAGACCCGCCUCCCGCCGUGAGGUCACAGACCCGGCCCUUCCACCGUGUCCUGGAGACCAGGGGAAGCAGUGGGGCCUUCAGGAGAAGGUUCCCCCCUUCAGCUGGAGGGAACAUGGCAGCAGGCCUGGCGGUGACCUUCCCUGUCCUGCUGCUGUCCUGCUGGCGAGAAGCUGACCUCCAGCCACUCAGCGGGACCCCAGGUCCAGCUACUGAAGUGCCAUCAAAUUCAAGAAAUCUGGAUAAUGACAUAGCUACAGUAUUUG